GUAGUCCACGCCGUAAACGAUGGGUACUAGGUGUGGGAGUUGUCAUGACUUCCGUGCCGUCGUAAACACAUUAAGUACCCCGCCUGGGGAGUACGGUCGCAAGAUUAAAACUCAAAGGAAUUGACGGGGACCCGCACAAGCAGCGGAGCAUGUGGUUUAAUUCGAAGCAACGCGAAGAACCUUACCUAGACUUGACAUCUCCUGAAUUACUCGUAAUGGAGGAAGCCCUUCGGGGCAGGAAGACAGGUGGUGCAUGGUUGUCGUCAGCUCGUGUCGUGAGAUGUUGGGUUAAGUCCCGCAACGAGCGCAACCCCUAUUAUUAGUUGCUACCCAUUAAGUUGAGCACUCUAAUGAGACUGCCGUGGUUAACGCGGAGGAAGGUGGGGAUGACGUCGAAUCAUCAUGCCCCUUAUGUCUAGGGCUACACACGUGCUACAAUGGUGAGUACAACAAGAUGCAAUCCCGCGAGGGGGAAGCCAAACUGUAAAACUCAUCUCAGUUCGGAUUGAAGGCUGAAACUCGCCUUCAUGAAGCCGGAGUUGCUAGUAAUCGCGAAUCAGAAUGUCGCGGUGAAUACGUUCCCGGGUCUUGUACACACCGCCCGUCACACCAUGAGAGUUGGCAAUACCCGAAGUCCGUGAGGUAACCGUAAGGGACCAGCGGCCGAAGGUAGGGUCAGCGAUUGGGGGUGAAGUCGUAACAAGGUAGCCGUAGGAGAACC
rnacentral:rRNA from 1 species